rnacentral:rRNA from 1 species
AAGUUUUGAGUUUAUCUUAAACGCUUGUUACAUGGCACCUGAUACUUUAUUACAGUUCUAGUGGCGGACGGUGAGUAACACGUUGGAACCUGCCCCAAAGUGAGGAAUAAGCCACCGAAAGGUGGUCUAAUACUUCAUAAUAUCCAUCUCGUAUGGAUUAAAGCUUUAUGCGCUUUGGGAGGGGCCUGCGUAACAUUAGCUUGUUGGUGAGGUUAAAAAGCUCACCAAGGCUUCGAUGUUUAACUGGUUUGAGAGGAUGACCAGUCACACUGGGACUGAGAUACGGCCCAGACUCCUACGGGAGGCAGCAGUAAGGAAUCUUCCACAAUGGGGGCAACCCUGAUGGAGCAAUACCGCGUGCAGGAUGAAGCGUUUCGGCGUGUAAACUGCUUUUAUCACCGAAGAUUAUGACUGUAGGUGAAGAAUAAGGACCGGCUAACUACGUG